rnacentral:rRNA from 1 species
CGCAAGGGGAGCGGCAGACGGGUGGGUAACGCGUGGGAACAUACCCUUCGGUUCGGAAUAACUCAGGGAAACUUGGGCUAAUACCGGAUACGUCCGUGAGGAGAAAGAUUCAUCGCCGAAGGAUUGGCCCGCGUAAGAUUAGCUAGUUGGUGAGGUAACGGCUCACCAAGGCUAUGAUCUUUAGCUGGUCUGAGAGGACGAUCAGCCACACUGGGACUGAGACACGGCCCAGACUCCUACGGGAGGCAGCAGUGGGGAAUAUUGGACAAUGGGCGCAAGCCUGAUCCAGCCAUGCCGCGUGAGUGAUGAAGGCCUUAGGG